UGGGGUGUGGCUCAGCAGUAAAGCACUUGCCUAGAAUGCACUAGGCCUAGGUUCCAUCCCUAGUACUCCGG
rnacentral:tRNA from 1 species